rnacentral:rRNA from 1 species
GAUGAACGCUGGCGGCGUGCUUAACACGUGCAAGUCGAACGGAAAGGCCCAAGCUUGCUUGGGUACUCGAGUGGCGAACGGGUGAGUAACACGUGGGUGAUCUGCCCUGCACUUCGGGAUAAGCCUGGGAAACUGGGUCUAAUACCGGAUAGGACCACAUUUUGGAUGGUGUGGUGGAAAGUUUUUCGGUGUGGGAUGAGCUCGCGGCCUAUCAGCUUGUUGGUGGGGUAAUGGCCUACCAAGGCGUCGACGGGUAGCCGGCCUGAGAGGGUGUACGGCCACAUUGGGACUGAGAUACGGCCCAGACUCCUACGGGAGGCAGCAGUGGGGAAUAUUGCACAAUGGGCGCAAGCCUGAUGCAGCGACGCCGCGUGGGGGAUGACGGCCUUCGGGUUGUAAACUCCUUUCGCUAGGGACGAAGCGUUAUGUGACGGUACCUGGAGAAGAAGCACCGGCUAACUACGUG